rnacentral:rRNA from 1 species
AUUGAACGCUGGCGGCCUGCCUUACACAUGCAAGUCGAACGGUAACGCGGGGCAACCUGGCGACGAGUGGCGAACGGGUGAGUAAUAUAUCGGAACGUGCCCAGUAGUGGGGGAUAGCCCGGCGAAAGCCGGAUUAAUACCGCAUACGACCUAAGGGUGAAAGCGGGGGAUCGCAAGACCUCGCGCUAUUGGAGCGGCCGAUAUCAGAUUAGCUAGUUGGUGGGGUAAAAGCCUACCAAGGCGACGAUCUGUAGCUGGUCUGAGAGGACGACCAGCCACACUGGGACUGAGACACGGCCCAGACUCCUACGGGAGGCAGCAGUGGGGAAUUUUGGACAAUGGACGCAAGUCUGAUCCAGCCAUGCCGCGUGCGGGAAGAAGGCCUUCGGGUUGUAAACCGCUUUUGUCAGGGAAGAAAUCCUUUGAGCUAAUACCUCGGGGGGAUGACGGUACCUGAAGAAUAAGCACCGGCUAACUACGUGCCAGCAGCCGCGGUAAUACGUAGGGUGCGAGCGUUAAUCGGAAUUACUGGGCGUAAAGCGUGCGCAGGCGGUUAUGCAAGACAGAUGUGAAAUCCCCGGGCUCAACCUGGGAACUGCAUUUGUGACUGCAUAGCUGGAGUGCGGCAGAGGGGGAUGGAAUUCCGCGUGUAGCAGUGAAAUGCGUAGAUUUGCGGAGGAACACCGAUGGCGAAAGCAAUCCCCUGGGCCUGCACUGACGCUGAUGUGCGAAAAGCGUGAGGAGCAAACAGGAUUAGAUACCCUGGUAGUCCUCGCCCUAAACGAUGAGUGCUAAUUGUUAGGGGGUUUCCGCCCCUUAGUGCUGCAGCUAACGCAUUAAGUUGACUCCGCCUGGGGAGUACGACCGCAAGGUUGAAACUCAAAGGAAUUGAGGGGGACCCGCACAAGCGGUGGAUGAUGUGGUUUAAUUCAAAGCAACGCGAAGAACUUUACCAAAUCUUGACAUCCUCUGACUCCUCUAGAGAUAGAGUUUUCCCCUUCGGGGGACAGAGUGACUGGUGGUGCAUGGUUGUCGUCAGCUCGUGUCAUGAGAUGUUGGGUUAAGUUCCGCAACGAGCGCAUCCCUUAAGCUUAGUUGCCAUCAUUAAGUUGGACACUCUAAGUUGACUGCCAGUGACAAACCGGAGGAAGGUGGGGAUGACGUCAAAUUAUCAUGCCUCUUAUGAUUUGGGCUACCCGCGUGCUACAAUGGGACAUACAUAGGGCAGUGAAACCGCGAGGGGGAUGCCAAUCCCAUAAAGUUGUUCUCACUUUGGAUUGUAAUCCUGCACUCAACUAUAUGAACCUGGAAUCGCUAAUAUUCGUAGAUUAACUUGUUACGGUGAAUACUUUCCCGGGUCU